rnacentral:ncRNA from 2 species
CAUCCAUCCCGAGCGGCCGAGAGACCUGGAUCGACGAAGCCGCAGCAACCACCCGACCCCGGGCAGGUGCUACCGCCAGGACCGAUGGAGG